CUAACACCGUUAUCAAGCAAAUGAUACACAACAUUUGCACAAGGAGUAAUAUAUACAUGGCGGGUAUUGGUUUAUACAAUAGAAGAGGUUGAUGUACGGUGUGUUGGCAUGAGACUUGUUGUGAUAGGAAUGAUUGAAGUAGACAAAGGAAACGUCUCAACUACUACUGCAACAAAGAAGUUGUCUAUCCAUAAAAAUUGCUCCACGUCAUCAUACCAGCUUCUAAAUGCCACUUAAGGAAGAAUAGCUAGCCUGGUCUCCCCUUCAUGAUGUUGCUGGAAUGUUGCUAAAGGCCUUAAUUACAUGUACUCACUCUCAGUUCAAAGGGGAUUUCACUUCAUUGUAUGACUUUCUGAAUGAAAAACUAAACAUUUCUCAAUGUCUAGUUUCCAUGUACUGUCUUCCACUUCAUUGCAAUAUGUGUUUGUGUAAUGUACAUGCUGGUGCCAUCAUUUAUAGUGAAGAGUGAUUGUUGAUGAUAAAGUUGUUCAUCACAUGUGUGAUUUUUGUAAAACGUUAGGUAUAUCAUCACAUAUGUGAAUUGUGUACCACAAGUUAGUUUGAUCAUCACAUGGGAUUUGUGUACAAGUUAGUUUUAUCAUCACGUGUGCUUUAUGUACCACAAGUUAGUUUGAUCAUCACGUGUGAUUUGUGUACCACAAGUUAGUUUGAUCAUCACAUGUGAUUUACUAGUAUGUACCACAAGUUAGUUUGAUCAUCACAUGCGAUUUAUGUACCACAAGUUAGUUUGAUCAUCACAUGUGAUUUAUGUACCACAAGUUAGUUUGAUCAUCACAUGUGAUUUAUGUACCACAAGUUAGCUUUAUCAUCACAUGUGAUUUAUGUUCCUCAUGUUAGUUUGAUCAUCACCUGUGAUAUAUGUCUACCACAUGCCCAUACCUUCAUGUGACUGCCAUUCAUCUGUCAAGGUGUGAAAGAUACACUAUUGUAAUAUGAAUCAGGUGGUCCUCUUUGACUCAUUAGCUAUAUUUCUCUGUUUUUGGAAUUGCACUAUGAGCCGUGCUCUAUUGCCAAGAAGGGAAUACCAUGCAAUGAUAGUGUGUUAGAGUUUUCUGGGUGAGGAUGUUAGAUGGAAUAACUGUAUAUUUAUAUGGUUUUUCAAAAAGAAAUAGUAACCAUA